rnacentral:lncRNA from 1 species
NNNNNNNNNNNNNNNNNNNCCAGGGCACUGUGUGUGAUGGGGAUGGCAGCACUGGGGGUCACAUUCUGCACUAGAGCCAAGCGGGCUGCAAUGGACCAGGGGGUAAUGGGGGGGGGGGGGACACAGGGGAUAGGCAGGAGUGCCUGCUUUGUCCUCAUCUCCUUGAGCUACAGCUGCAAGAAGGUGGUGGUGGGGGCAUUGUCUACGUGCCCCCCCACCCCCCUCCAGGCUGUGCACUGGGUGGAGGGGAAACUGAGGCAGAGAGGACGGCACCGUUCACCCAAGGUCACCUCGAGCCAACAGCACAGCCCUGCCCUGCUCCCCGGAGGGCAAUGCCCCCCCCCCAGCCCAAACAGGGCCAGCUCCCCCCUCUCCCCCUCCUCCAGUUGGGCAGGAGGGUGCUCAGGACCCCCCACCACAAUUGACAUGCAUGAUGCAGGAGGAAAGGAGGCCAGGCCUGGGGAGGGGGGAGGUGCUGGGGGGGGGGGGGGGGCAUGCUGCGGGCAGGAUGCCCAUGGUGACAGCAGCGAGGGUGACAGGGCAGGAUUUGGGCCAAGCUCAGCGCAACCCACAUUAUUUUGGGGUUACAUCACCAAAAUCCAUCACUAUAGUGCAGAGUCCCCAAGGAGAUGUCAACCCCCCAGCCCCCACAUGGAGAUGCUCAGCUGUGCUCUGACCCGGGGAGUGCCAGCACCCCCGGCACAUAUGGGGCGGCCCUAUGGGGUGUCACUCCCCCCCAUACCUGUACCCACUGUGGGAACAGGGAGGAAAAGUUACAGUUCCAGGGAGACAGUGCUGGGCACCCCUCCUCUCCGGGGGGGGGCUCUGUCAUCUCUGGGCCUGUGGGUUGUUUAGGGGGCGAAGCGCUUCCUACUGCCCCCUAGUCUGAGCACUCACUGGUCCCCUCUGCUGUCCUGCCCCAUUGCAGCCCCCCACCACAAUCCCUCCAGCUGAGGCCGAAUGGGGUGGGGGCCUACACCAGCCCCCCCCCCACCCCAUUCCUGUCCCAAUAUUCCACACCCCAGCUGCUUCUUAUAGGGUAGCAGAGCCCUGUGAAGCAGGGAGCCCUCCCCAUCCUAUUCUGUCUCUUCUCCACCUCCCCCCAGUUCGGGAGUGCCCCCCUUUCCUCCCCACGGCUCUCCCAGGGCUCAGUACAUUGCAUUC